rnacentral:rRNA from 1 species
UUGAUAGCGUCUGGCGGCAGUUUUUUCUCGAUGGUCCGGAAU